UGGAAAGACCAUCAAGAGAGCUCAAAACCCUGACGGGAAACCAUCAGAUAAAACGUCCAGAUUACAAACAGAAGAUGAAAGUUGCAUGUUUUUCUCUCCUACUGCUGCUGGCAUGUAGCUUUGGAGAGGGCCUGAAAUGCAACUGUAUUGCCAAUCUUUGCACUGACACAGUGCAGACCUGUGAACCUGAAGAAGACAGCUGUAUCAGCGCCAUUAAGCCACCCUCAAAAUUCAUAAACCUUAAGAGAUGCAUGAGUAGUUCAAGCUGCCUUUCGCUGAAAGCAAUGUCACCCAGGAUCACCAGCUGCUGCUACACCGACCUGUGUAACUAACACAACCUCUGUCUACGAUGCGGUCAAAUCCUGUACUUCCUUUGCUGUACUAAGCUGCACAGUGUUGUGACUGUGAGAAAUAAAUACAAAGGAACUUAAAUACAUGUGCUUUUGUAUCUUUAUCAUAACAGUUCUCAUUGUGACAUACUGUAUAUUUUAAUAAGUGAUUGAACAGUACUGACUGGCAUUUGCAAGGCUUUCGAUAUCUUUUUAUAUCCUUUUCCAUCUUUAUAAAUUUCCAUUACCUUGUUGCACAGUUCUUUUGACAGUUAUUUUCUGCUCCCCAUGGCUCAGUAUCUAGGCUGCUCAGUGCAUCCACAUGAGGGCUAACAAAGUCAUUGACUAUUUAUACACAGACACUAAUUGCAAUUUAAAAAGCCACAGGUGUUAAUUGCCAUUUUCACCUAUGUGUGUCUGUAACAAUGCCAAACAUUCAAGGGUUUGUAAACAUUUGAUCAGGGCCAUUUGGGUAAUUUCCGUUAUCAUUAUGAGCCAAACAACUAUGUGAUAAUAAAGGGCUUCAUAUGAUCACUAUCCUAAAAUAAAAAACAGUUUUUUUUGCAUGAUCGGUCAUAUUUUCAAAAUCAAUGCCAAAAUUUCACAGUGUCUGCCAGAGUAUGAAAACCUAUGAACAUAACUGCAUAUACUGCAUAUUAUGUUAACAAAUCAAGUGUCCAUAUUUCACGUUUGUGAGAUAUUGGGCAAUAUACAGCUCCAGAACAAAUUAAGAGACGACUGCACCUUUUCCUUUUCUUUUCCAAAAAAGUUAAAAAAGAACAUUUUGAGUGAAGAACAGAAGCGUUCAAUUUGCAGUGGUCUCUUAAUUUGAACCCUUCUGUUCCUCACUGAAAACCUUAUUUUACGACUUUUUUGGAAAGGAAAGAAAAAGGUCCAGUGGUCUCCAGAGCUAAUCUAUUCCGAAGCUGUAUUUACUCUGGUUUUUGACAGGUGGUUUAAGAUUAGGACAGCAUGUUACCUAAGCAUACAGGACCACAGGUGCAAAAUAACUGUACUCUACACAAUCACCACUAUCGUUUGUGACCUUGACACAGCUCUGAUAUUUACAUCCAACGUUCUGCAUGUUUCAUUAUUGUAUUUCUCUAUGUUGGAUGUUCAUCAUGUGAUGAGAUGAUGAGAUGAGAUUUAAUGGAUGUUCAUCAGAUGUUGAACAAUUCAUUUUGUUACAGUUUAUUUAGUUGAUGUAUUACUGUAUUACAAUUUCUUAUAUUUUGUGAUGUUCAUUUUACAGUUAUGGCUUUGUCAGAAACUCAUAUCAAGCCAAAUGUCCCGAUAAAUGUAAUGACCUGAAAUUAAGGGACUAUGCAUAAAAUAUGACAAAUACAAAUGCCCUCACGUUUCUAUUGAAUAAUAGGCUCUCAAAAGUUUGACCUAUGGUAAACAGCAGUGUUUCAAAAUGUUUACACAUCUUCUCAGUUGGAUUGAGGUCCAGGUUUGACUGGGCCACCCAUGAACAUUCAAUGACUAGUCCCAAAUUCACUUCAGUGUUAUCUUGGCUGUGUGCUUUGGGUCUCUGUUGUGCUGCAAGAUGAAACUUUCACCUCAGUCUGAGUACCAUGAUGCUGUUAGGUUGGGAUGUUGUCC
ensembl:lncRNA